rnacentral:lncRNA from 1 species
CAGCGAUUUGUCUUCUUGUCUCAAUAAGUGUAAGAAGUGGGUAGAGGAUGGAAAGGGAGAAGAAAGGAUUAAAGUUAAGCCUGAAUGUUUCAUUCUCCACCUUAACAUGACCGCAUCUACUAAUAGCCAAUAAAAUGAAUUGGCCUCUCUACUGGGCUGCUUGACCUUCCUCAUGACAUGGCAGUUGGUUUUUCCCAGAGCAGAUAAGUCAAGAAAUCAA